AGGGAUGUAGCUCAGUGGUAGGGUGUAUGCUUAACAUGUGCAAGGCCCUGGGUUUGAUUCCCAGCACCCCUC
rnacentral:tRNA from 1 species